rnacentral:rRNA from 1 species
CGGCGCCCGAGGAUGAGUCUGCGGCCUAUCAGGUAGUAGUCAGGGUCAAGACCUGACUAGCCAGCGACGGGUACGGGCCUUGAGAGAGGUCGCCCGGAGAUGGACUCUGAGACACGAGUCCAGGCCCUACGGGGCGCACCAGGCGCGAAAACUUCGCAAUGCAGGAAACUGUGACGAGGGAACUCCAAGUGUCCAUGCAUAGCAUGGACUGUUUGCCAGCCUAAAAAGCUGGUAGAGUAAGGGGUGGGAAAGACCGGUGCCAGCCGCCGCGGUAACACCGGCACCUCAAGUGGUAGCCACUAUUAUUUGGGCCUAAAGCGUUCGUAGCCGG